rnacentral:rRNA from 1 species
GUGGGGAAUAUUGGACAAUGGGCGAAAGCCUGAUCCAGCCAUGCCGCGUGUGUGAAGAAGGUCUUCGGAUUGUAAAGCACUUUAAGUUGGGAGGAAGGGCAGUAAGUUAAUACCUUGCUGUUUUGACGUUACCGACAGAAUAAGCACCGGCUAACUUCGUGCCAGCAGCCGCGGUAAUACGAAGGGUGCAAGCGUUAAUCGGAAUUACUGGGCGUAAAGCGCGCAUAGGUGGUUUUGUAAGUUGGAGGUGAAAUCCCCGGGCUCAACCUGGGAACUGCCUCCAAAACUGCAUGACUAGAGUACGGUAGAGGGUAGUGGAAUUUCCUGUGUAGCGGUGAAAUGCGUAGAUAUAGGAAGGAACACCAGUGGCGAAGGCGACUACCUGGACUGAUACUGACACUGAGGUGCGAAAGCGUGGGGAGCAAACAGGAUUAGAAACCCCUGUAGUCC